UACGAAGGGGGCUAGCGUUGUUCGGAAUUACUGGGCGUAAAGGGCGCGUAGGCGGUGUGUCAAGUCAGGCGUGAAAGCCCCGGGCUCAACCUGGGAACCGCGCUUGAGACUGGCACGCUCGAGGUUCGGAGAGGAUGGUGGAAUUCCCAGUGUAGAGGUGAAAUUCGUAGAUAUUGGGAAGAACACCGAUGGCGAAGGCAGCCAUCUGGACCGACACUGACGCUGAGGCGCGAAAGCGUGGGGAGCAAACAGG
rnacentral:rRNA from 1 species